rnacentral:lncRNA from 1 species
GAACUCCCGGCUCAGAGAGUUCUCCACCGCUCCUCCCAGGCUCACGAGGCUCACGGGCUACCCAGCGCCAGCGGCCCAGGAGGCUGGACCACAGGUAAGACGAGGCCCAAGGCCUGCCUCUGGGAACUCGGCCCUGGCUUGGCUCUGCCCUCCUCACUCCCACAGGAUCUCCGUGCCCACCAGGCCUCAGUCCCGACUUCUCCCUGCUGCCCGGCACGGGACCCUCCCCCAGGACAGCCACCUCCCAGUGCUGAAGAGCCGGCCCGCCUCAGAGCCGCCCGCCGUUCCUUUUUCCUAUGCAUAUACUUCUUUGAGGAUCUGGCCUAAAGAGGUAUAGGGCAUGGGAAAACGGGGCGGUCGGGUCCUCCCCAGCGGCACCUGCACCAGUGCACCUGCACCUGCUCCAGCAGCACCUGCCUCCUGACUUGGGACUCCACCUGCUUCCUUUCUCCUCGGCCGGGAGCCCCGGGGCUUUGACCCCCACAUCCUUGGGGCAGAAAGGGGCCAAAUAUUCUAAAACAAGGGAAACGUGGAUGUGUGCUUUUGUGUGGGUUCUGGAAGUGUCUGGGGAGGACGUGGUCCAGGCCUCUGCCCUGGGUUGAUCUCUGCAGCCCCUGAGCUGGGACCCAGGAUGCAGAGAGGAGGGCUGGAGCUGGGCGGUGCUCUGUGACCAGUCUGACCGGAGUUGGGGGUGGACCCAUUACAGGAGGUGGCGGGAGGGACAACCUGGGCUCUGGGGCCGCCUGGUGGUCGGGGGAAGUGGGGCGGGGUGCCUGGGAUCUGGGCUCUGGCUGGGAGGAUCCACAACUCAUUCUUUGGACAUUUUCUUUGCAGACUACGAAGCUGCACCGUGUGGGGCCCACUUUUUAUACAAGCGGGUGGCGGUGGAUCCAGGCGCAGACGGGAGUGAGGCGUGGCGGAGACGCGUGCACGCUGGGCUGGAGUGCAGUGGCGCGAUCUCGGCUCACUACAACCUCUGUCUCCCGGGUUUAAGCGACUUUCCUGUCUCAGCCUCCCAAGUAGCUGAAACGACAGGCGCCUGCCACCAUACCCGGCUAAUUUUUUUAUUUUUAGUAGAGAUAGGGUUUCACCUUGUUAGGCUGGUCUUGAACUCCUGACCUCAUGAUCCACCUCACUCGGCCUCCCAAAGUGCUGGGAUUACAGGCGUGAGCCACAGCGCCCGGCUGGCUGUUGCUUCUUAACACCUUUAUUACUUUUGUAAUCAUGGGUAUGAGUUGAUUUUCUGGUCAGAAAUUUCAGUAGAGCUAAUUUCAUUUAAAUGUGUGAGAUGUGGUAAAGUUUUGACAAUAAAUACAAAUUUUGACAAAGC